rnacentral:lncRNA from 1 species
CUUCCUGGGUGAUUGCAAAGGUAGAUAGGGGAUGGGCCUUUGGUGAUCACGGGAGGGCGGACCACUCGACUAUGCCCUUGUUAUGAUUAUUGGCGCUGUCGGGUGGGAGACUUCUUGGGUGAUCAUAGGGGUAGUUAGGGGAUGGGCCUCUAGUGGUCACGAGAGGAUGGUCCACUCGCCGGUGUCGAUUUCAUAUUGGCCACUUGAUUAUUGAUAUUGAUAUUAUGCAGAGCUCUAUCCGGU